GGGCCUUGCAGGCGCUUCAGGCUCAGGGGCGGAAGCAGCGCGGGCCGCGAGGGCGUAGGCGGGGUAUCUGGAGGAGGCGCGGGGAACCUGGAAAGGGUCCAGCCCUCGGGGCCCCGGCCAGAGGCGGGAAGGGGCUCCAGAGCUUCGGGAGGCAAGAUGACUUCUCUGCCCCAAGCUUGGAACAGCUAAAGGGAAAAACAGUGCAAGAUGAGAACAACAAAGGUCUACAAACUCGUCAUCCACAAGAAGGGCUUUGGGGGCAGUGAUGAUGAGCUAGUUGUGAACCCCAAAGUGUUUCCUCACAUCAAGCUUGGAGACAUUGUAGAGAUUGCACACCCCAACGAUGAAUACAGCCCUCUGCUUUUGCAGGUCAAGUCACUUAAGGAAGAUUUACAGAAGGAAACUAUCAGUGUGGACCAGACUGUGACUCAAGUGUUUCGGCUAAGACCUUAUCAAGAUGUCUAUGUUAAUGUCGUAGACCCUAAGGAUGUGACCCUUGACCUAGUGGAGUUAACUUUUAAGGACCAGUAUAUUGGCCGUGGGGAUAUGUGGCGACUAAAGAAAAGUUUGGUCAGCACAUGUGCAUAUAUCACUCAGAAGGUGGAGUUUGCUGGCAUCAGAGCGCAGGCUGGUGAGCUGUGGGUUAAGAAUGAGAAGGUCAUGUGUGGUUACAUCAGUGAAGAUACCAGGGUGGUGUUUCGUUCUACGUCGGCUAUGGUUUACAUAUUUAUUCAGAUGAGCUGUGAAAUGUGGGAUUUUGAUAUUUAUGGGGAUUUGUAUUUUGAGAAAGCUGUGAAUGGUUUCCUUGCUGAUCUAUUUACCAAGUGGAAGGAGAAGAACUGUAGUCAUGAAGUGACAGUGGUCCUGUUUUCUAGAACUUUCUAUGAUGCAAAAUCUGUUGAUGAAUUUCCUGAGAUAAACCGAGCCUCAAUUCGACAGGAUCAUAAGGGGAGAUUCUAUGAAGACUUUUACAAAGUGGUGGUGCAGAAUGAGAGAAGAGAAGAAUGGACUUCACUUCUCGUGACCAUUAAAAAACUCUUCAUCCAGUAUCCAGUGUUGGUGCGACUGGAACAGGCAGAGGGCUUUCCUCAAGGAGACAAUUCUACCUCAGCACAAGGAAACUACCUGGAGGCCAUCAAUCUGUCAUUCAAUGUGUUUGAUAAGCAUUACAUCAACCGCAACUUUGAUCGAACAGGGCAGAUGUCAGUGGUGAUCACGCCCGGGGUGGGUGUCUUUGAAGUGGACCGCCUACUCAUGAUCUUGACCAAGCAGCGGAUGAUAGAUAAUGGAAUUGGUGUGGACUUGGUGUGUAUGGGAGAGCAACCGUUACAUGCUGUCCCAUUGUUCAAGCUCCAUAAUCGGAGUGCUCCCCGGGAUUCUCGUCUGGGCGAUGACUAUAAUAUCCCUCACUGGAUAAACCACAGUUUCUACACAUCCAAAAGCCAGCUCUUUUGUAAUAGUUUCACCCCACGAAUAAAACUGGCAGGAAAGAAGCCUGCCUCUGAGAAAGCAAAAAAUGGCCGUGAUACAUCUCUUGGGAGUCCAAAAGAAUCUGAGAACGCCCUUCCCAUCCAAGUAGAUUAUGAUGCCUAUGACGCUCAAGUGUUCCGGCUGCCCGGCCCAUCCCGGGCCCAGUGCCUCGCCACCUGCAGGUCUGUGCGAGAGCGAGAGAAUCACAGUCGAAAGAGUGCCAGCUCCUGUGAUGUUUCAUCCAGCCCUUCCCUACCAAGCCGCACACUACCCACUGAGGAAGUGAGGAGCCAGGCUUCUGAUGACAGCUCCCUGGGCAAGAGCGCCAACAUCCUGAUGAUCCCACACCCCCACCUGCACCAGUAUGAAGUCAGCAGCUCCUUGGGAUACACCAGCACUCGAGAUGUCCUGGAGAACAUGAUGGAGCCACCACAGCGAGACUCCAGUGCACCAGGGAGGUUCCACGUUGGCAGUGCAGAAUCCAUGCUGCAUGUUCGACCAGGUGGAUACACGCCCCAGAGAGCACUGAUUAACCCCUUCGCUCCCUCUCGAAUGCCCAUGAAGCUUACAUCCAACAGAAGGCGCUGGAUGCACACUUUUCCUGUGGGACCAUCCGGAGAAGCCAUCCAGAUCCACCACCAGACCCGACAGAAUAUGGCGGAGCUGCAAGGCAGUGGGCAGAGGGACCCAACUCAUUCCUCUGCAGAGCUGCUGGAGUUAGCAUAUCAUGAAGCUGCUGGAAGGCACAGCAAUUCCCGCCAGCCUGGUGACGGCAUGUCCUUCUUGAACUUCAGUGGAACAGAAGAACUUUCUGUCGGUCUGCUUAGCAACAGUGGUGCAGGUAUGAAUCCUAGGACCCAGAAUAAGGAUUCUCUAGAGGACAGUGUUUCUACCUCUCCAGACCCAAUUCUGACACUGUCUGCUCCCCCUGUAGUGCCAGGCUUCUGUUGCACAGUUGGAGUGGACUGGAAGUCUCUCACUACUCCGGCGUGCCUCCCCCUCACCACCGACUACUUCCCUGACCGCCAGGGCCUGCAGAAUGACUACACAGAGGGCUGUUAUGAUCUCCUUCCAGAAGCAGACAUCGACAGGAGGGACGAAGACGGUGUGCAGAUGACAGCCCAGCAGGUGUUUGAAGAGUUUAUUUGCCAACGUCUCAUGCAGGGCUACCAAAUCAUAGUGCAGCCCAAGGCACAAAAACCCAACCCUGCUGUCCCACCCCCGCUGAGCAGUAGCCCACUCUAUAGCCGAGGCCUUGUGUCCCGAAACCGCCCGGAGGAGGAGGACCAGUAUUGGCUGAGUAUGGGCAGAACAUUCCACAAAGUGACGCUGAAGGAUAAGAUGAUCACAGUGACGCGAUACCUUCCCAAGUAUCCUUAUGAAUCUGCCCAGAUCCACUAUACCUACAGCCUCUGUCCUUCCCACUCAGACUCAGAGUUCGUCUCCUGCUGGGUGGAGUUCUCCCACGAACGGCUGGAGGAGUACAAGUGGAAUUACUUAGAUCAGUAUAUCUGUUCUGCCGGUUCUGAAGACUUCAGCUUAAUUGAGUCUCUGAAGUUCUGGAGGACCCGCUUCCUGCUGCUGCCAGCCUGUGUCACCGCCACCAAACGCAUCACAGAGGGGGAGGCCCACUGCGACAUCUAUGGGGACAGGCCCCGUGCAGACGAGGACGAAUGGCAACUCCUAGAUGGCUUUAUCCGCUUUGUGGAGGGCUUGAAUCGCAUUCGCAGGCGGCAUCGCUCGGAUCGCAUGAUGCGGAAAGGGACCGCCAUGAAAGGCUUGCAGAUGACCGGGCCCAUUACCACACAUUCUCUGGAGUCAGCCGCACCCCCAGUGGGGAAGAAGGGAACCUCGGCUCUCUCUGCCCUGUUGGAGAUGGAGGCCAGUCAGAAGUGCCUGGGAGAACAGCAGGCAGCUGUGCAUGGUGGGAAGAGCUCCGCCCAAUCAGCCGAGAGCAGCAGCGUCACCAUGACUCCCACCUACAUGGACAGCCCACGAAAGGAUGGGGCCUUCUUUAUGGAGUUUGUCCGCAGCCCACGCACAGCAUCGUCCGCCUUCUACCCUCAGGUAUCUGUGGACCAAACAGCCACUCCUAUGUUGGACGGCACCACUUUGGGCAUAAGCACAGGCCAAUCCGUGGACAGAGGCAACAGCCAGACCUUUGGGAACUCCCAGAACAUAGGAGAACAGGGCUACUCCUCCACAAACUCCAGUGACAGCAGCUCUCAGCAGCUGGUGGCAAGCUCCUUGACCUCAUCCUCCACCCUGACAGAGAUCCUGGAAGCCAUGAAGCACCCCUCGACAGGAGUCCAGCUGCUCUCUGAACAGAAGGGCCUCUCACCGUACUGCUUCAUCAGCGCAGAGGUGGUGCACUGGCUGGUGAACCACGUGGAGGGGAUCCAGACACAGGCGAUGGCCAUCGACAUCAUGCAGAAAAUGCUGGAAGAGCAGCUCAUCACACACGCAUCUGGCGAAGCCUGGCGGACCUUCAUCUACGGCUUCUAUUUCUACAAGAUAGUAACGGAGAAAGAGCCCGACCGAGUGGCCAUGCAGCAGCCCGCCACCACCUGGCACACAGCAGGAGUGGACGACUUCGCCAGCUUCCAGCGCAAGUGGUUUGAGGUGGCCUUUGUGGCAGAAGAGCUCGUGCACUCUGAGAUUCCUGCCUUUCUCCUGCCCUGGCUACCCAGCCGGCCAGCCUCCUAUGCAAGUAGGCACAGCUCCUUUAGCCGAAGUUUUGGAGGACGGAGCCAGGCAGCAGCACUUUUAGCUGCCACUGUCCCAGAGCAGAGGACUGUGACCCUGGAUGUUGAUGUGAACAACCGCACAGACCGGCUGGAGUGGUGCAGCUGUUAUUACCAUGGCAACUUUUCUCUGAACGCAGCCUUUGAGAUCAAGCUGCACUGGAUGGCGGUGACCGCAGCAGUACUCUUCGAGAUGGUCCAAGGUUGGCAUCGGAAAGCCACCUCCUGUGGCUUUUUGUUGGUCCCAGUUUUGGAGGGGCCUUUUGCACUGCCCAGUUACCUGUAUGGCGACCCCCUUCGUGCCCAGCUCUUCAUCCCACUCAACAUCGGCUGCUUGCUCAAGGAGGGCAGCGAGCACCUGUUUGAUAGCUUUGAACCGGAAACGUACUGGGAUCGAAUGCACCUCUUCCAGGAAGCCAUUGCACACAGGUUUGGGUUUGUACAAGAUAAAUAUUCUGCCUCUGCUUUUAACUUCCCUGCUGAGAACAAGCCUCAGUACAUCCACGUUACAGGAACAGUGUUUCUGCAGCUGCCCUAUUCCAAACGCAAGUUCUCAGGGCAGCAGCGGCGGCGGCGGAACUCCACCAGCUCCACCAACCAGAACAUGUUCUGCGAGGAGCGGGUCGGCUACAACUGGGCCUACAACACCAUGCUAACCAAGACAUGGCGCUCCAGUGCAACAGGGGAUGAAAAGUUUGCUGAUCGACUGCUGAAGGACUUCACGGACUUCUGCAUCAACCGCGACAACCGUCUGGUCACGUUCUGGACAAGUUGCCUGGAGAAGAUGCAUGCCAGUGCCCCAUGAGGCCAGGGUUAGAAGGCUGUGCCUGUGCAGAGGGAAGUUCCCCACAGAAGCGGUCCCAUCCUGAGCUGGGCAGUUGUGCCAGGUGGCCGGGGUCAUGGCAGUCAAUGAAGAGGCCACAGAUGGGAACCAGAAACCCUGUGCCCAGGUUCAACCUGCUGUUUGUUCACCAGGUGACCCUGCAUAGCCUUCUGAAACCACCCUGACCCUCAUCCGUCUAGUGACAAGAUGGGAAUCAUCAAGACUUCAUUACAUAACUGGAGAAGUCGAUAAGGUGUACAAGGAACAUGAUAUACCACCAGCUAGUCUGAAGCUUGGGAAAAGAGAAAAGGAAAGCAGAAAAAAGAUAACAGCAAGAGCUUACUUGUAUAUUGAACCCCAAAAAAGUGUGUGCCCACCAACCUGCUAGGGCCUGAGGACAGCCCUGAUGGAGGAACCAGGAGAGUGGCUGCCACCACUUGAAGCCAGAUUGGAGGACAACAGAGAAACUGGCCAGCUCUGGAGUCUGACCUAUGCAGGGAGCUGGGUGUCCACCCCCCACUGCACACAUCUUGGGAUUGCUUUGUGCAUGCCCCCUUGGGCUGCCUGUCACAGUGAUUGCAAGAUACUGUUCCUAUCAGGUUUUAUGAUGUAGACUCUAAGGGAGCUGCCCCUUUAUACAAGUCCCUGUGUCCCAGUGGAAUCGCAGCCAGCCCAUCGCCACGGGAGGGAGAUUUGUUUGUGGUUUACUCACUUGUUUGUUGUUCACAGGUUCAGUCACCAUGCUGCCCACACAUAUGUAUUAACAGUCACCCACGUGCCAGGCAUCAUGUAGAUGCAGGAGGAAGGAUAUUAAACAAAAAAUUACACAAAUAA